rnacentral:rRNA from 1 species
UACGUAGGCAGCGAGCGUUGUUCGGAGUUACUGGGCGUAAAGAGUGCGUAGGCGGCGUUCCAAGUUUGGUGUGAAAUCUCCCGCUUAACUGGGAGGGUGCGCCGAAAACUGGGGUGCUAGAGUGCGGGAGAGGUAAGCGGAAUUCCUGGUGUAGCGGUGAAAUGCGUAGAUAUCAGGAGGAACACCGGCGGUGUAGACGGCUUACUGGACCGUGACUGACGCUGAGGCACGAAAGCGUGGGUAGCAAACAGG